UACGUAGGGUGCAAGCGUUGUCCGGAUUUAUUGGGCGUAAAGAGCUCGUAGGCGGUUUGUCGCGUCGGUUGUGAAAACCCGCAGCUUAACUGUGGGCGUGCAGUCGAUACGGGCAGACUAGAGGCAUGCAGGGGAGAAUGGAAUUCCUGGUGUAGCGGUGAAAUGCGCAGAUAUCAGGAGGAACACCGGUGGCGAAGGCGGUUCUCUGGGCAUGUCCUGACGCUGAGGAGCGAAAGCGUGGGGAGCGAACAGG
rnacentral:rRNA from 1 species